GUAAUUUGUUAUUUGGUUAUAAUGGGACCGAAAAAAAAAACUAAAUGGUAACAAAUAUAAAAAGCUUGCUAAAAUAAAAGAUGCUAAUUUAAAUAAAAUGAUCAAAAACACAAAUAAAGUUGACUUAAUGUUUAAAAGAAAAUUAGGAACUAAAAAAUGACUGAAAGUUCUCAAAUAGAAUCUAAAGAUGACAUAACUUUUGAUGAUAUUAAGAAUAAGUGUACUGAUGAAAUUGACAAUAGAAUUGGAUUAAAUUCUAGUGAUAUAUUAUGUAAUGCUAAUAUUCAACCAAUUAGUAUUGUGGAUGUAAAAAUGUCCAAUAGUUCACAAAUAGAAGCUAAACCUAUCAUAAUACUGAUGAUAAUACUGAGAAUAUGUAUUACUUAAGAAAUUGACAAAACAAUUGUAAUAAAUUCCAUAGAUAAACCAGGAUCUGAUCCGGCAUUAUGGUAUAUAAAUAAACAAAUGAGACCAUAUAUGUAAACAUGGAUUUAAUCAAAAUUGAAAUGAAGAUUUUUCAGCUUCUAAAAGAACAUAUAAUUUUGUUUUAACAAUUUUCCCUUAUCUUUCUAUAGCUUUGAGCAUGUUUUUAUGUACGCCAGUAUCAAAUUGUUCAACCGAGCGGUCGUUUUCGACAUUUCGUAAAGUAAAGACUUACUUAAGAUCUACUAUGACAUCAGAAAGAUUAAACAGUUUAGCUAUAUUAAAUAUAGAAUCAUCAGUUACAAAACAAUUAAAUUAUGAAGAUAUUAUAAACCAUUUUGUGUCAGCACAAUUACGAAGAAAAAUUUAAUUUUGAAAAUAUAAAAAAUAAAA